UACGGAGGGUGCAAGCGUUAAUCAGAAUUACUGGGCGUAAAGCGUGCGCAGGCGGUUUGUUAAGUCCGUUGUGAAAGCCCCGAGCUCAACUUGGGAAUUGCAGUGGAUACUGGCAGGCUGGAGUACGGUAGAGGAGGGUGGAAUUCCCGGUGUAGCAGUGAAAUGCGUAGAUAUCGGGAGGAACACCAGUGGCGAAGGCGGCCUUCUGGACCAGUACUGACGCUCAUGCACGAAAGCGUGGGGAGCAAACAGG
rnacentral:rRNA from 1 species